rnacentral:misc_RNA from 1 species
GGCUGCUUGUCCUUUAAUGGUCCAGUC